AACUCGUUAAUCUAAUAGUCUGUCUCUAUACAAAAUCCACACUUCCCUAAACUUGCUUAUCAUGAUCUUUUGAUAUUCGCUUUUUCUUCCUUAAACAGAGGAGAGAUUGUAGAAUUUGAUUCCACUAGUUUCAAAUAUUUGUACACACACAAUCAACACAUAAACAAUGCCUCUCAACCAUUCAUUAUCACACAAAGGUAUUGCAAACGCAGGUGUUAGACAGGCUUCUCACCAGGCAGGUAAGAAGGAGAUCCACCUUCAAUUUG
rnacentral:misc_RNA from 1 species